AGGGCGGCGAUCUCACUUCCACUCUCCGCCCUUUACCCGAAGGCCAAGCUUACAUGCCCUCUUUCCCUCCCAUCUCUCCUUUCGGUCCCUCGUCCACCUGCCUCGGGCUCGUUACCGUGAGCCAUCGCCCUCCUCCUCGUCGUCCUCUCCGGGAUGAGGAGCUUCUCCCCUUCUCCUCCCUAUUCUCAUGUCUUGUAUCUUCUCUCCGCCCUCGGUGGCGACGGAGGCGUCGAGGGCAGCGCCGGCCCACGAGAGCUUCGCCGACAUGAUUGAUCAGGCUCUCAGGAAGGAGUUCCCCGAAAGCGAGCAGACCGUUGGAGCAUACAAUGGAUUGCAAGUAUUCAAACAUGGCAUCAUUCAGGCAGGAUGUUCUCCCGUAGAGUUUCAAUGUUGGAAUAUGCACUGAAAAAUAAAACGAACGAAAUCUGGAAACUGUAGCCGGAGUUACGUCAAAGAAAAAUGACACCAAAGAGAAGUUGUUUCAGUUUCUUGAUGUUGUCAAUUUAGACAAUGAGAAUCUGGCAGAAGACAGCCCUACCUUGAUAGACCACAUGGAUAAUGUCUUUAUUAUAUCAAAUCCCAGGUAAAAAUAUCCUGUCCUGCAGUUAGACUUGAGGUAUGUCUUCUGCACUUUGUCCAUGAUCAUAAGGGUUAUGUUUACUCAAUAUAGAUUGCCAAUGUUUCACCCUUUUAGUUAGUCUCUUUCUGUAUAAAUUAGACCUUAGCUAUGAAUUAUUCACCAUUUGAUCCUAUCCAGCACUUCUUCCCUGGUCAACUGAGCAUUUUCUGUUCUUUCAUUUGUAAAUUUAUCUUGGAUUUGAACCUUUGCCAUCCUGAAAUGCAGGCUUCUCCGUCAUAAUGCCUCCUGUAAUCCUUGGUAUAAAUUUCCUCACCAUUAGUUGAUUUUCCACCACUCAACCUAUGGUUUAUAGUAUAUACUUUUAUUUGGAACUCUUUGGCUCAGGGUUUCCUUUCAGGUCACAUGUCAAAUAAAUUGGUUCUGUAUUAUCAAUGAUCAAAAUUUUGGCUGAAGUUUUAAACAUAUAUGUUUGUUAGUGCAUGAGCGCAUGCCUAAUACUUAUCGAACCAUAUAUGCUAGCGUGAGACUGAUUUUGGUGGAAACAACAUCAGUUCUGGUCAUUUUGGCUCCAAUGGAAUAGGUUUCAUCGUGAAUGAAUCCACUGGUUAGUUGUAUACAAUGUAUUAAGUUGGUCAUAACCCACAUGUUUCUUGCAAUUGCACUUUUCUUCUAUAGCUUAGUCACUAGAAGUGAGUGCGAGUGCGGAUGCGGGAAUGAGGAAGCGGCUGUCAUAAAAAUGAAUUUUAGUAAGAAAUGCUUAGCGGGUCUUGUGCAUAUAUUAUCUAGUGCACAUGUUUAGACUAACCAGUGCAGGCAUUUAGGCUGAGUAUGUUUAACAAGAUAUUCACAUCUAAAUGACUAGCUGCACACAUUUAAACUACCUGGUGUGCAUGGAUAAAUAGGAAAUAAUCUGUUGCAUGUAGUAUACACACUUAGACAAAUUGGUAUAUCAUAAGUGUGAUUCACAUUUGGGCUAACCAGUUCACAUAUUUAUCGGUACACAUAGAAAAUAUGGAAUAGUAUGUGUACCUCGAGGGUGUACAUCUUUUUACUAACUGAUGCGCAUAUUCUAGAGUAUAAAAUUUGGGUAUUGGAUGCACAUGUUUCAUGUUGAUCGGGCAAGAGAAAAUUAGGUCAGAAAAAUUGAAAAAACAGCUGAUCCUGCAGAGAAGAUAAAAAUGGCCAUUUCUUCAAAUCUGAAAAUGUGAAGGGCCAUUCAUGCAAAAUACCCUACAGCAUUUUAUGCUUUAUAAGAUAUUAUGAUCUUGGAGGGUUUUUCAUUUUUUUUCCUUUACGAGUAAAAAAAGAAAUAUAAUUUGGUAUUUCACUUUUAUAUUCGUUUUUUUUUUAAAAAUAGUAGUUUCACCAAGGUCCGCCGUACCAGUACCGGUCGGCGUACCGGUGGCGGCCCGGACCGGUACGAAAUUGGUCUCGUACCGGUGGCGUACCGGUCCGAACCGGUCCCGUACCGGUCUCGUACCGGUUCUUCAACAAUAAACUAUCGGUACCGGAUUCCACGCUAAUCCGGUGCCGGUUUCAGGCCGGACCGGCCCGUACUGGCUCGUACCGGCCGGUACGGCAGACCAUGAGUUUCACCUUUGAAAUCAAAUCUGUUUUUGCUUAGCCAAUUUUUUAAUGAUCACAAUUGUUGUUUUUUAUUGAGUGCAUCUUUCACUGUGGCAACUUCGAUGCCUCUUCCAAUGUACUUAUUACUAACCCUAAUCGGUCGCCCCUUUUAUUCACUGACACCAUCCAUAUCUCCCUCUCUCUCAUUCUCAUAUGUGAUUGCACUAGGUUAUAACUUGGCCAUCAAUCUUGACAUGGGUGAUUAGAAUCAUGCUAUAUUCUUCAUAAUCUCAUCCAUAUAUGCAAUUUAUUGUUCCACCCUAUUCUCACAUUAUUAGCAUGAUUUUAAUAGACAUGGUGCCUCUUCAUUCGCCUAUAACUAAUGCAACAACAAAAGAGAUUUGAAUUUUUUAGCAGGUAAUCAUAACCAACAAAUCUUGUGCCAUUGAUUCAGUUUCAUUAUAUGAACUAUACUUUGGGACACAUUCUCAUCGGGGGCAUGUUUUAACUAAUCCUCUCCCACAACUUCCAUCUUGGCCAUCUUAGACUUUGUUGAUAUUGCAUAUGUUGCUUGGAAUCUACUCUACAUGAUGACACGCAUUUCAUUGAAUAUUUUUUUGCAGGUUGAUAUCUGAUCUUGUUGUGGUCAUUGUGUCUGCAACCUGUGGUGGCAUUGCCUUUUGACUGUCCUGGACAACCGGCAUUCCUAGUUGUGGUGGGUUAAUGUCAGUGCAUAUGUGCAGAUGUAAUUAUGUUGACACGGUUGCUCAGUUUGGUGUAAUUUUGCUUGUUUUCGUGUGGGGCUCGGAGUUCUCUGCAGCAAAGCUUCGCGUUGUUGCAUGAAGUUGCUGUUCUUGGGGGCUUACUUCAAACUUUUCUUUUCACGUGCUUAUGUGGUAUAACCGCUUUAGUAUGUCUUGCUUCCUCAUUGACAAGUUUUGAGAUGAAUUCUGUUUUUGGCUCUAUCUAAUCUAAAACAUACACAAGAUCUUUAGUCCUUUUGUUGAUAUCUUAAAAUCAACAAGGAGUGCUUUGCUGAAGCAAAUAUAUAUGUUGCAGGACAAGUUCACUUUCAUUCUCAAUCUGCCAAUAACAAUCAUUGCGACCAUCAUAUACUAGCUACAUUGGAAAAUUUCAUAUUUCAUGAAAAAACGUUAUGUGCACAAUUUGCUCAUUUUCCUUACUACGUUACGGUGACUACCUCAUGGUUAUAAACUAUGCUAAUUUCUCUUGACAAAAUUAAAGUUGAUUGUUUUGACUCUUUACUUCUUGUCUGACUCACCUCAUGUUUUAAUAAAAACAUAGUUUUGUUAUCUGAACUAAAGGUUGACUUGAGGAAUCUGUCAAGUUUCUUUUACAUGAAGCAUUUUGCAUUGUUUCACUAGCAUUUUUUAUUAUGAAACAUUCAAAGGGAUUUAUAGAUAUUAGAUCAUCUUUCCUAACAAUAGCUCUUGAUUAUAUUUGAAAAAUUGUGAAAAUCAGGAUAACCUUCAGUGAUACUAGUACUAUAUUUAGCUUGAAAACUUCUUGCAUCUAUUGACAGAGUAAUAUUUUUGUUCCCUUUGCCCCUCUCUAUUGAUGCCAAGUGCAUGAUGUGGCAUGGGUCGCGAGUCCAAGCCGCAUGGGUCGUGGGUCCUAUAUGCGUAGGUCUCGAGACACGACUAGUUUUUGAUGAUUAGUUAUUUUUUCUAUCUUAAUUAGGAAAGUUUGAUGUUAGUAAAUUCUAGGAAGUUUUGAUUUUUAUGAACUUUCAUUUUAAGAACUUUGAUGUUAUUAGGAAAGUUAGUAGUUUGGGUUUUUCGAGUUGGAAUGGAACUUGGAAUCCUAUAUUGAAAGGUUGAAGAAAAGCGUCCUUUUUUAUUACUUAUAAAUACCUCCAUUGAGGCUCCUCUUGUAAUCAUACUAGAAACAUUUGAGUUAUCGAUUAGUGAGAAUUCUCUUAUAGGAAUUAUUCUUGCCUUCUUAGUAUUCUCUCUCCUCUCUUUUGGUGAAUUUCUAGGAUUCGCGAGUGAACAAGCUGUAUCCUUGGAGUGGCCAAAUAAGAUCAUAUUUUUGGCCUUGGAGGAGUGUUUCACCUCUGCUCCUCUUUCAACUACCAUCUUCCUAUUCUAACACAUUGUUUUGUACGGGUCAUAAUAGGGUUUCUUCUUUGCCAUAAUUGACUGUGUUGAUUUACCCUUUCUCUUUCGAAUUUUCAGCCCAAUUCAAUACCUCCUUGGCUUCGAUAUUGGAGCACAAUUUCAGGAUGUCCUGCCGCCACAAUGUUGAAGAGCGUGUUCAACGAGUACGAGAUCUAUGAAACAUCGAAUUAGAUGAAUUGUGCCACCAGUUUGAACAACUUUAAGAUGAAAUUCAACGACUUCAACAGCAUCAAGAGCAACAUGAAUGCUGACAUCGUUAGGAUUUCAAUCAUUAUUCUAAUAGAGAGCUAUUUGAUGAUGAAAGCAGAUGUUCCAAUAAAAUAGUGGAAGAUUUCAAUUCAUUCUACAGCAUAAGAGCAUCUUCAUCGAGUAAAGAAGAUAUCCGAUGCCACCGUGAACAGAGACCACAUCACAACCAUCGUAACUUCGGCAUCAAAAUAGACAUUCUUAAUUUUGAAGAUUUCCUGCAACCUAAAGAGUACAUUGAUUGGCUCUACAUAGAUGAACAAGUCUUCGAGCGUAAUGAAGUUUCCAACGAUUGAUGGAUGAAGUUAGUCGCCAGCAAGCUCAAAAAGUAUGCAUCAAUUUGGUGGAAAAUCCAUAUAUUAUUCUGUAUAAUAUAAUCAUAAAGAAUGGGUGUGAAAUCCAUAUCAAGAUUGCAAGCUAUGCAUUAUAACUAAGUAAGACAUAAUUAUUAAA